AUUGCAGUGAGAGUGGAAAAGGAUGUGGCGUUGCCCAGACAACUAGGAUGUUGGCUUAGAAGCAGCCAUCAUUUAAAGAGUGCGUAAUAGCUCACUAGUCGAGUGACACUGCGCCGAAAAUGUACCGGGGCUAAACAUAUUACCGAAGCUGUGGAUUGUCCGUAGGACAAUGGUAGGAGAGCGUUCUAAGGGCGUUGAAGCAUGAUCGCAAGGACAUGUGGAGCGCUUAGAAGUGAGAAUGCCGGUGUGAGUAGCGAAAGACGGGUGAGAAUCCCGUCCACCGAUUGACUAAGGUUUCCAGAGGAAGGCUCGUCCGCUCUGGGUUAGUCGGGUCCUAAGCUGAGGCCGAUAGGCGUAGGCGAUGGAUAACAGGUUGAUAUUCCUGUACCACCAAAAUUCGUUUUGAGCGAUGGGGGGACGCAGUAGGAUAGGCGAAGCGUGCUGUUGGAGUGCACGUCCAAGCAAUAAGACUGAGUAUUAGGCAAAUCCGGUACUCUUAAGGUCAAGUUGUGAU
rnacentral:rRNA from 1 species